GAUGAACGCUAGCGGCAGGCCUAAUACAUGCAAGUCGAACGGUGGUAGCAAUACCAUAGUGGCGCACGGGUGCGUAACGCGUAACCAACCUGCCCUUGACUGGGGGAUAGCCCGCCGAAAGGCGGAUUAAUACCGCAUAAUAAUCGAGACCGGCAUCGGUUUCUAGUUAAAGAUUUAUUGGUUAAGGAUGGGGUUGCGUGACAUUAGCUAGUUGGCGGGGUAACGGCCCACCAAGGCGACGAUGUCUAGGGGAGCUGAGAGGCUGGUCCCCCACACGGGCACUGAGAUACGGGCCCGACUCCUACGGGAGGCAGCAGUAGGGAAUAUUGGGCAAUGGGCGAGAGCCUGACCCAGCCAUGCCGCGUGCAGGAUGAAGGCUUUCUGAGUCGUAAACUGCUUUUGCCAGGGAAGAAAAAAGGGGAUGCGUCCUCUACUGACGGUACCUGGUGAAUAAGCACCGGCUAACUCCGUGCCAGCCGCCGCCGUAAAAC
rnacentral:rRNA from 1 species